rnacentral:lncRNA from 1 species
CGGCAUAACUGAAUGUAAAUAAUCUAAAGAAAGCAGAGCAAUCAAGAAGCUAAGACUGAAUAUGCAAAAAUAGUAAUGCCAGUACUUUUAUAUGUUAACUCAGAUCAAGCAUUAGGAAUAUUGCAUGAAGAAAGCAGAGCAACUAAGAAGCUAAGACUGAAUAUGUAAAAAUAGUAAUGCCAGUACUUUUAUAUGUUAGCUCAGAUCAAGCAUUAGGAAUAUUGCAUAAUGAAUAAGUUGGUUUAUGUAACUAAGAAUAUGUUCUAUACCAUCUAGUAGAUAAUUAAGUUUGUGUUGUAAUUGUU